rnacentral:rRNA from 1 species
CCUACGGGAGGCAGCAGUGAGGAAUAUUGGUCAAUGGGCGCUAGCCUGAACCAGCCAAGUAGCGUGAAGGAUGACUGCCCUAUGGGUUGUAAACUUCUUUUAUAUGGGAAUAAAGUGCAGUAUGUAUACUGCUUUGCAUGUACCUUAUGAAUAAGGAUCGGCUAACUCCGUGCCAGCAGCCGCGGUAAUACGGAGGAUCCGAGCUUUAUCCGGAUUUAUUGGGUUUAAAGGGAGCGUAGGCGGGUUGUUAAGUCAGUUGUGAAAGUUUGCGGCUCAACCGUAAAAUUGCAGUUGAUACUGGCAUCCUUGAGGACAGUAGAGGUAGGCGGAAUUCGUGGUGUAGCGGUGAAAUGCUUAGAUAUCACGAAGAACUCCGAUUGCGAAGGCAGCCUGCUGGACUGUAACUGACGCUGAUGCUCGAAAGUGUGGGUAGCAAACAGGAUUAGAUACCCCUGUAGUC